rnacentral:rRNA from 1 species
UACGUAGGCAGCGAGCGUUGUUCGGAGUUACUGGGCGUAAAGGGUGCGUAGGCGGUUGUUUAAGUUUGGUGUGAAAUCUCCCGGCUCAACUGGGAGGGUGCGCCGAAUACUGAAUGACUAGAGUGCGGGAGAGGAGAGUGGAAUUCCUGGUGUAGCGGUGAAAUGCGUAGAUAUCAGGAGGAACACCGGUGGUGUAGACGGCUUACUGGACCAUAACUGACGCUGAGACACGAAAGCGUGGGUAGCAAACAGG